ACGUAGGGUGCAAGCGUUAAUCGGAAUUACUGGGCGUAAAGCGUGCGCAGGCGGUUUUGUAAGUCUGUCGUGAAAGCCCCGGGCUCAACCUGGGAAUUGCGAUGGAGACUGCAAGGCUUGAAUCUGGCAGAGGGGGGUAGAAUUCCACGUGUAGCAGUGAAAUGCGUAGAUAUCUGGAGGAAUACCGGUGGCGAAGGCGGCAUCCUGGACCAUUACUGACGCUGAUGCGCGAAAGCUAGGGGAGCAAACGGGA
rnacentral:rRNA from 1 species